UACGUAGGGCGCAAGCGUUGUCCGGAAUUAUUGGGCGUAAAGAGCUCGUAGGCGGCCUGUUGCGUCCGCUGUGAAAUCCCGGGGCUUAACCCCGGGCUUGCAGUGGAUACGGGCAGGCUGGAGGCAGGCAGGGGAGAACGGAAUUCCCGGUGUAGCGGUGAAAUGCGCAGAUAUCGGGAGGAACACCGGUGGCGAAGGCGGUUCUCUGGGCCUUACCUGACGCUGAGACGCGAAAGCGUGGGGAGCGAACCGG
rnacentral:rRNA from 1 species